AUUGAACGCUGGCGGCAGGCCUAACACAUGCAAGUCGAGCGAGCGGCGGACGGGUGAGUAAUGUAUGGGGCUCUGCCCGAUAGAGGGGGAUAACUUCUGGAAACGGUGGCUAAUACCGCCUACUAUCGGGUGACCCGAUAUGGGAUUGGCGAGUGGGUGGGGUAAAGGCUCACUGAGGCGACGAUCCCUAGCUGGUUUGAGAGGAUGAACAGCCACACUGGGACUGAGACACGGCCCAGACUCCUACGGGAGGCAGCAGUGGGGAAUAUUGCACAAUGGGCGCAAGCCUGAUGCAGCCAUGCCGCGUGUAUGAAGAAGGCCUUAGGGUUGUAAAGUACUGUCAGCGGGGAGGCGUUACCCGCAGAAGAAGCACCGGCUAACUCCGUGCCAGCAGCCGCGGUAAUUC
rnacentral:rRNA from 1 species